rnacentral:rRNA from 1 species
CCUACGGGGGGCAGCAGUGAGGAAUAUUGGUCAAUGGACGAGAGUCUGAACCAGCCAAGUAGCGUGAAGGAUGACUGCCGUAUGGGUUGUAAACUUCUUUUAUAUGGGAAUAAAAUGUUCCACGUGUGGGAUUUUGUAUGUACCAUAUGAAUAAGGAUCGGCUAACUCCGUGCCAGCAGCCGCGGUAAUACGGAGGAUCCGAGCGUUAUCCGGAUUUAUUGGGUUUAAAGGGAGCGUAGGUGGAUUGUUAAGUCAGUUGUGAAAGUUUGCGGCUCAACCGUAAAAUUGCAGUUGAAACUGGCAGUCUUGAGUACAGUAGAGGUGGGCGGAAUUCGUGGUGUAGCGGUGAAAUGCUUAGAUAUCACGAAGAACUCCGAUUGCGAAGGCAGUUCACUGGACUGCAACUGACACUGAGGCUCGAAAGUGUGGGUAUCAAACAGGAUUAGAUACCCUAGUAGUC